CCUACGGGUGGCAGCAGUGGGGAAUAUUGCACAAUGGGGGAAACCCUGAUGCAGCGACGCCGCGUGAGUGAAGAAGUCAUUCGUUAUGUAAAGCUCUAUCGGCAGGGAAGAAAAUUACGGUACGUGAGUAAUCUUCACCGGCUAAUUACGUGCCAGCAGCCGCGGUAAUACGUAGGGUGCAAGCGUUAUCCGGAUUUACUGGGGGUAGAGGGAGCGCAGGCGGCACGGCAAGCCUGAUGUGAAAGCCCGCGGCUCAACCGCGGGACUGCAUUUGCAACUACUGGGCUGGAGUGCAGGAGAGGUAGGCGGAAUUCCUAGUGUAGCGGUGAAAUGCGUAGAUAUUAGGAGGAACACCAGUGGCGAAGGCGACUUGCUAGA
rnacentral:rRNA from 1 species